AGUUGCCAUCCCAGUCAACAAACAAAUCAAUGUCCGUUAACUUUACGUAUUUCAGCCACCAACUCGAGCAACCCAGGAACGCUGGACUUACUAAUAUGUUUUACCCAAGGGACACGUGAUUGAAGACAGCAGGAUUUAUUUGUAGUAUUCGACACAUAGCUAGAGAUAUGUUACUUACACAGAGCCUUUUUAUUAGACAUGAUCAGUGUUGUAGCUGGACGUCGAUUUCGGAUCACAAGGUCCGUGGCUCGAAUCCCAUCACGGGACUCGGAAAUGCUAUGGCUGAUACAGUGUGUUCACCGACAAAGUAACAACGAGACUUUUAUCAUUAAUGAACCCUGUGUAGAGCUGGUACGGGAUGUUAUUAUUUACGCUGAGAAAAAUAUUUCCUUCUGUCGCCAAAAGAUAUUGAUCACAUAUCAGCUUCCUCGUAUUAGAAACACAGCUAUGUCCGUCAUGAACAUUGGGACGGUUUAGUUUCAGACGGGUUGUGUGAGUGUCAGUAUUUAUUGUGGUGUUACUUGAAGGCCGUCGCCUGAUACAGCAAGUAUAAACACCUCUCUCUAUGUAAUAUUUUCGUCAGUGUGGUAAGAAUUGUGAAUUACAUUAGCAUAUGUUUUUAGUGAAUUGAUUAAACAUCUCCAAAGCAUAUAGUAUCGUUCUAAUAUUUAAACCAUAAAACAAUUCAUAUCUGAACUGUAUAUACUUUGUAUAAUGAUGUACUGCGUCAAUGGGUCAUCAUUCUUGUGUACGGCAUGUGUUUUGCCCUGUUUACUUCUAUAAAAUAUGUUUGUGUUUAUUGAAAGAACGUAUGUUGUAUUUCUCAGAGCCCUAUGGACCUGUUGAUGUUGUUCUCCUUUGGUUGCCUGGCCAUUUGUUCAGCAGCCACACAGUGCCGUGACCACCAGCACUGCUCAGACUGUGACAUAACGAUAGGAGACUGCAUCACCGACUGUGACCGUGGAUACUACAACAAGAAAUGCAGGUCUGCGUGCAGCAAGAACUGUAGAAGUAAAACGUGCAUAACUUCAAACAGUGGUAGAUGAAACUGCACAGACGGCUGUGUCCUAGGAUACCAAGGUCAUGGCUGCAACAUACCAUGUGACAGUCCAGAAGGUAAUUGUACAGCAUGUCCAGGUGGUUGUGAUGGAGGAUAUUGUCAGGUGGGGUCAUACUGUGUGUCUGGAUAUGUACACUCCUACUACGGGACUGGCUGUAAGUCGUGCUCUAGUCGAUGUAAGUCCUGCAACGGGAUCACUGGAGUGUGUCGAGAGUGCCAGCUCAAUUAUUUUGGACACGACUGUGAAUAUUCUUGUGAAAACUGCGUCAGUGGGAGAUGUAAUGACACAGGUUGGUGUACAGGCGGAUGUGAAGAAGGAUGGUACGGGGUGAACUGUUCCAGCCAGUGUAACUCUAAGUGUUUGAAUACAAGAUGUACGAAUACAGGUGAUUGUACUGACGGUUGUAUUCCUGGAUAUUUUGGAAGAGGAUGCGAAUCCUGCCCAGUUGGAUGUUGGAAUAACACGUGUCUGACAAGCACCGGAUCCUGUACACGGGGAUGCAGCCGAGGAUUGUAUGGACAAUAUUGUAACAACACUUGUGAUGCGUGCCUGGAUGGGGAGUGUCUUCAGAUGACAGGCACGUGCAUCAAAGGCUGUCACGUGACUGGACGUGGAUGUAAUUCUACCUGCAGGAACUGUUCCAUUGCUGAUUGCACUGCUCAAUCAUGUGAAGGUUGGCGUGGUGAACGCUACAACAGAGAUUUCAAACUGUGGGCAGUAUCGGGGAUGUUUGGUUUCAUCAUCAGCAUGUUAAUUUGCAUCAUAUUCCUAAAGCGUAAGAAAUCUAAAAGGGAAGUGACGAUCACGAGUCAACAAGAACUCAACGUCAGAAGGUUCAGGCAGCUACAUGACUCGGAUCACACACACAGCGAGAUCAACAACGAAGACACGAGCCCGUUAUAGUCGAACCAUACACAGAACCAGACCAACAUGUAUGUUAGGGCU
rnacentral:lncRNA from 1 species